AUCCCAUUGUGAGGACACCUGCUAAGCAUCUCUUUAAAUCUUUCCCAUGCUUCAUACAGGGACUCCCUCUCAAAUUGAGCAAAAGUAGUAAUAUCAUUAAUUAAUUU
rnacentral:snoRNA from 1 species